CCCUUAGAUGUUCUGGGCCGCACGCGCGCUACACUGACGGAGUCAACGAGUUGUCCUGCAUCGGAAGGUGUGGGUAAUCUUUUGAAACUUCGUCGUGCUGGGGAUAGAUCUUUGCAAUUUUCGAUCUUGAACGAGGAAUUCCUAGUAAGCGUGAUUCAUCAGAUCGCGUUGAUUACGUCCCUGCCCUUUGUACACACCGCCCGUCGCUACUACCGAUUGAAUGGUUUAGUGAGGCCUCGGGACUGGCGCGCUCGAGUAGCAAUACACCUGCGCGCCGGGAACUUGGUCAAACUUGAUCAUUUAGAGGAAGUAAAANUCGUANCA
rnacentral:rRNA from 1 species